CUGGGGUUAACCUUUUAAAAGCUC
rnacentral:miRNA from 1 species